rnacentral:rRNA from 1 species
GAUGAACGCUGGCGGCGUGCCUAAUACAUGCAAGUCGAGCGAACGGACGAGAAGCUUGGUUCUCUGAUGUUAGCGGCGGACGGGUGAGUAACACGUGGAUAACCUACCUAUAAGACUGGGAUAACUUCGGGAAACCGUAGCUAAUACCGGAGAAUAUUUUGAACCGCAUGGUUCAAAAGUGAAAGACGGUCUUGCUGUCACUAAUAGAUGGAUACGGGCUGCAUUAGCUUGUUGGUAAGGUAACGGGUUACCAAGGCAACGAUGCAUAGCCGACCGGAGAGGGGGAUCGCCCACACUGGAACGGAGACACCGUCCAGACUCCUACGGGAGGCAGCAGUAGGGAAUCUGCCGCAAUGGUCGGAAGCCUGACGGAGCAACGCCGCGUGAGUGAUGAAGGCCCUCGGAUCGUAAAGCCCUGUUAUUAGUGAAGAACAUAUGUGUAAGUAACUGUGCACAUCUUGACGGUACCUAAUCAGAAAGCCACGGCUAACUACGUG